UUGCUAUCUGCGAUAUGGAAGAUUCGAACCUGCCGCAGGUUCGGGUCGAACGCAGUGAGACAACGGAGCCGUUUACGGCGACGGCCCGAAGGGCGAGGCGAAGCCGAGUCAUCCUGCACGAC
rnacentral:sRNA from 1 species